AACGAACGCUGGCGGCAGGCCUAACACAUGCAAGUCGAGCGCGCCCUUCGGGGUGAGCGGCGGACGGGUGAGUAACGCGUGGGAACGUGCCCUUCUCUGCGGAAUAGCCUCGGGAAACUGAGAGUAAUACCGCAUACGCCCUUUGGGGGAAAGAUUUAUCGGAGAAGGAUCGGCCCGCGUUGGAUUAGGUAGCUGGUGGGGUAAUGGCCCACCAAGCCGACGAUCCAUAGCUGGUUUGAGAGGAUGAUCAGCCACACUGGGACUGAGACACGGCCCAGCCUCCUACGGGAGGCAGCAGUGGGGAAUCUUAGACAAUGGGGGCAACCCUGAUCGAGCCAUGCCGCGUGAGUGAUGAAGGCCUUAGGGUUGUAAAGCUCUUUCAGCUGGGAAGAUAAUGACGGUACCAGCAGAAGAAGCCCCGGCUAACUCCGUG
rnacentral:rRNA from 1 species